CCUAACUUGGAUGCAACUCCAGUUGACCAUGGAAAGAAAGUAUCCGCAACUAGACAAUUGGGACGAUACUCUUUCAACAGCUCUUCGAGUGAUUGAACAAGCAUUGUGGUGGCCUUGAAGAAAUUUAUCCCCAUUUCAGGUGUGGUGAUUAUGCUUACCUUCAGGCCUCGCGAAGCAAAUAGUUUGGCCAUGUCUAUGAGGGGGAUGAUAUGGCCUUGAGCCAUGAAUGGGAAGAAGAAAACAUGAAGCUCAUGUCUUUUUUCACUGUCCAUUAGAUCUUGCAAAGAUGAUCUAACUGAAAGCUUAUUAAGCUAAAAUUUUGUUCCAAGAAAGAAGUCUUAAAAGGGUUGAGCUACAGAUUUGGAAAGGAAAUUCUUGCCUUUUGAUUUCCUUAUCAAGUGCCGUCCUCAAUCCUCUUGAAUAACAUCCGCCAGAUCAUGUUGACAUGACAUCAUCAAUCUGACAAAAGUAAAAAUGGCCGUCCGUUAGAUCAUGUAAAUUUGCGUCAUUACCUGUAAUACGGAUGUAGGCAACGACACGCAACCCCUAAGUUAAUUAUCCCCUCCAUCAAUGACCAGAAAAGGGUAGGAUCCUGCGAAAGUGGACAUGUGGUCUUGUGGGGUGAUUGUUGUUUGUGGUAAUGGCUGGUUACUUGCUAUUCCGUGAACAAAAUAUCAUGGUGAUGUACAAGAUCUAUAACGGCGAGUUUCUGUGUCCUACAUGGUUCUCUUUGGAACUCAUUAGAAUCCUUUCGAAGCUUCUUAACGCAAUAACUCUGAAACUCGAAUCACAAUCCCCUAGAUAAUGGAGAAUGAGUGGCUCAAAAAGGAGUUCAAGCAUAUCAAAAUUUUCAUUGUGGAUGAUAAAGUUUUUAGUUUUGACGUUGAGGACAACAGGAUGAUAGGAUUCCUUCAUUAUCUAGAUCUGCAAGUUUGAAUGCUUAUGCUUUUGAUGUUAUAUCCUUCUCGAUCGCCUGGGCUUGAUUUAUCUGGGUUGUUUGAAGACAGUGGAGAGGGAUCAAGAUUUGUUUCAAGGGUUCCUAUAUUCAAGAUUAUAUCAAAACUGGAGGAAAUUGGUAAAGUUGCGAGCUUCACGGUGAGGAAAAACGGUCAAUUACCGCAGCUGAUAUAUUUGAGUUGACAUCAAAAUUAGUGGCGGUGGAGAUUAAGAAGAAAAGUGGGGAUGAAGGAUGAAGUAUGAAGGAUGAAGGAAGUUAAUCCACCCACGUCGGCUUGAGCCCAUCACGUGACAAGGGCAUUAGCCCAUCUUAUGGCCAGCUAUUGUUUCUCUUAUAAAGAAAUUAUAAAUCCCCUGUUGAGUACAACUCCAACGCGAAGGAGUCAAUUUUUGGAACAUUAGAUUUAACUCCUAACCAAUGAGGGGUAGGAGAGAGGUCAACAUACAAUAGAAAGAGCAGAAUUUUUAAGAUAACUCUGCUAUGAAAUUCGGCUGGUACACGAGAGAAAAAUCAAUCAUCCUUCAAGUUUUUCGGGGAGAUCAUAACUUGGUGCAACUUGAUACAAUAUUGGUGCUAUAGUUUGGUGAUCUUCUUCCUCUUUUUUGUUUGUGAGAAAACACUGCAGUUUAAGUACAUCUAAUAUGUAAUUAAAUAUGGGUUAGUGAUACAAAAUUGGUUGUGGGUUAUAUAUAUAUAAUUCGAUAUUGUUAGGGCCAUAAUAAUUUUUCUAACAUUGAUAUCAGAGCCGAGUUUUUUUUUAUUAGUCUAAAUAUAUUAAUUAAAAUGUUAAACACAUGUUAAGUGAUUAGAAUUAAAUCUAGAAUUUAAUUUUGUAAAUAUGAAUUUAUUGAAAAAUAUUCAAUAUGCCUAUUUUGAGCUGUUAUAUCUCUUUGUUUAUUUAUUCUUUAUCCAUGAAUUUUAUACCAUUGUAAAGUAGACAUGAUAAGUUUUCCAUAAAUAUAUUAUUUGUAUUGUUUGGAUAAAA